rnacentral:rRNA from 1 species
GACGAACGCUGGCGGCGUGCUUAACACAUGCAAGUCGAACGGAAAGGCCUCUUUCGGGGGGUACUCGAGUGGCGAACGGGUGAGUAACACGUGAGUAACCUGCCCUUGACUUUGGGAUAACUUCAGGAAACUGGGGCUAAUACCGGAUAGGAGCUCCUGCUGCAUGGUGGGGGUUGGAAAGUUUCGGCGGUUGGGGAUGGACUCGCGGCUUAUCAGCUUGUUGGUGGGGUAGUGGCUUACCAAGGCUUUGACGGGUAGCCGGCCUGAGAGGGUGACCGGUCACAUUGGGACUGAGAUACGGCCCAGACUCCUACGGGAGGCAGCAGUGGGGAAUAUUGCACAAUGGGUGGAAGCCUGAUGCAGCAACGCCGUGCGCGGGAUGACGGCCUUCGGGUUGUAAACCGCUUUCGCUCAUGACGAAGCUUUGUGUGACGGUAGUGGGUAAAGAAGCACCGGCUAACUACGUG